rnacentral:lncRNA from 1 species
GACGAUGGCUGGCAGCUGGAUUUGAUAGUGUUGUGAAUAAAGCUGUUCUUUUUUUUUUUUUUUUUUUUGACAUUCCACAGCAAUCCCUUAUUCUUUAUCACCACUUUGGAGCAGGGAAUACUCCAGCUAUCAGUCAUCACAAGUCUGACCACCACCUCCCUCAAGAUACAAAUAAAGUAAGAAAGGGAGUUUAAGACAAACUCGUUAAUUAAUAAAGAAAGGGUGGGGGGCACAUGCCUGCCUUCAUUAGGCAGUCACUGAGCUCCCAAGCAAUCACAGCGCUGCAGGUGCUUUCCUGAUUCUUCUGGCCCAUAAUGCAGCCAGUGUGGCAGCAAAAUAACGGCCCAUGCAGAUAAGGAACAGGCAGGUUUGCUUUUGCAGCUCUCUACCCUCUUGGCAUUACAGCCUUCCAGCUUCAGGGCAAACAGAACUGCAAGGCCAGGCUAUGCCAGAGGGACAGGUCUUGCCACAGAGAGGCUUUUAGUGAGCCUGCUGGCACAGGAGAACUGCUUUGCACGAGCUCCAGGACUGUCACCGAGCGUCUCCGUCUCUGAACACGAGUGGUGAGACCAUCCAGGGCACGUAUUGCAAGCAACGCUCUACCGAGGCGGUCAGUUGUCAGCUUGGACACAUCGUGGAAAAGAACUAGUACAAUUAAUAUCCUAGUUCUACUUUAUUAACAAGUGUUUAAAAAUUCUUAAGACUCAAGGAAUGCUAAUUUAAGAGACAGUAGGAAGAUGAAGGCGUCAUUCAGAGGGGCUGGUUUUCACAGCCACCCCCACCAGUGGCUUCUGAACACUGAGUUGGAGCUGCACAGUCCUGGAAACUUGUUCCUGGGACACCUCUUUGCUGUCAGGGAUUAACAGAAUUGGCUGAGGACCUCCUGUGGAUGGAGAGGUGGGUUCUUCUUGGCUGACAAGUGUUUCCUUUUUGUGGGGAAGUACUCUGUAAUCUGGGGGAGUGAUGUAAAUGUUGAUCAGCACCCGUGUGCAUCUGUCCACUUGUUUUUUGUCGUUUAGAGGGACUGCUAUCACUGAUAGAAACUGGAACUGACCAGAUGUAAUUUGAAGGGGAUGUGUUGUCUCUGUGGAUGUUGGGUGGAUGGGUGGGAGGGUGGAUGAAUGGAUGGAUGUUAAUUCUUGUAUUUUAAACCAGAUGGAAGUGUUGUUCUUAUACUAAAACUUGAUGGCAGUGAUCAUUUUCUUGGUUAAGGGAUUUAGUAAAGUGUAUUAAGUAGCAGCAUGCUAGACAGCAGUUGCUUUUAAAACA